CUGACUCAGCCGCAGACAUUAGUGCUAGGAAGAUGGCGCACCCGGCGAUGUUUCCUAGAAGGGGCAGCAGCAGUAGCAGCGGCAGCAGCUGCGUUACUGCUCCCACUGCACCAGGUACCGGCGUUGGGAGCGCUGCCCUCUCUGCCGAGGAUUAUCAGCCGCCUUUGCUGGUCCAGCCGCCGCCUCCAUCUCCUGCAGCAGCUUCAACAGCCGGUCCGCAGCCGACACCUCCUCAUCCACAAAGCCUGAAUCUCCUCUCGCAGUCUCAGCUCCAGCCACAGCCCCUUGCACAGACUGGAGCUCAAAUGAAAAAGAAAAGUGGCUUUCAAAUUACCAGUGUGACCCCUGCUCAAAUAUCAGCUAGUAUGAGCUCUAAUAACAGCAUAGCUGAGGAUACAGAAAGCUACGAUGACCUGGAUGAAUCUCACACUGAAGACCUGUCAUCUUCAGAAAUCCUGGAUGUGUCUUUAUCCAGAGCCACUGACUUGGGAGAACCUGAGAGGAGUUCUUCUGAAGAGACUCUAAAUAACUUCCAAGAGGCAGAGACUCCUGGGGCUGUUUCUCCAAACCAGCCUCAUCUUCCUCAGCAGCAUGCUCCUCUGCCUCAUCACCCACAGCAGAGUGUUGUGAUCAAUGGAAGUGUUCAUCCCCAUCAUGUUCAUCACCACCACCAUCUUCACCACCACCAUCAUGGACACCAUCAUCCAUCGCAUCCUGGGGUGGGUAGCGCCCCAGUUUCUGGAGGACCACCGCCCAGUCCAUCGUUUAGAAAACUAUCAACAACUGGAAGCUCUGACAAUGUUAUAUCAAUUGCACCAGUUUCUGCUGCAUCAUCCACUGGUUCCCCGGCAUCUGCCGUGUCUAAUAUCCGCACUACAAGUACUCCUGGCAAUUUAGGUAUAAGUCCUGCUGCUGGAACUAGUACCUUAAGUAAUAUUGGUGGUGGUAGUUCUAGUGUGGCAAGCAAUGUGCUUGGUACUAUAAAUUUAAGCAACAUCAUCAGUACUGGUAAUGUAAAUGCUUUGUCUGGAACUAGCAGCAAUGCUAAUGUGAAUAUCUUGAGUGGUGUUGGCAAUGGUACGAGUGCUUCCUCUAGUGUCAUUAACAAUGUUACUAAUCCAACUGCAGGAAUGGCAGUGGGAUCAAGCCAGCAGCAGCCUGCAUCUGGCACAUCAAGGUUUAGGGUUGUAAAAUUAGAUUCUAGUUCUGAACCUUUCAAAAAAGGUAGAUGGACAUGCACUGAAUUCUAUGAUAAAGACAACACUGUUGCAGUUUCGGAGGGAGUAGCAGUAAACAAAGCAGUAGAGACGAUAAAACAAAACCCGCUUGAAGUGACUUCUGAAAGGGAGAGCACCAGUGGGAGUUCUGUUAGCAGCAAUGUAAGCACACUGAGUCACUAUACAGAAAGUGUGGGAAGUGGAGAAAUGGGAGCACCUACUGUGGUACAGCAGCAAGCAUUUCAAGGUGUGGGUCCGCAGCAGAUGGAUUUUAGCAGUGCUGCUCCUCCAGCAAUUCCAGCAUCUAGUAUACCACAGAGUGUUUCUCAAUCACAGCUUGCACAAGUCCAGCUGCAUUCUCAAGAAGUAAACUAUCCACAGCAGAAGCCAGGGGUCCAACCUCCUGCACAGGCCAGUCUGACCACUGUUACUGGGGUCCAGCCAGCCCCAGUUAAUAUACUAGGUGUAUCCCCAUCUCUGGGCCACCAGCAGCCUGCCCUUCAGAGUAUGGCUCAACAGCAGCUGCCAUAUUCGCAGCCGGCUCAGCCUGUGCAGACUUUGCCAGUGGUGCAGCAGCAGCAGUUGCAGUACGGACAGCAGCAGCAGCAGCAGCCAGUUCCUACGCAGAUGGCCGCGGGUCACGUUAAGCCGGUGAACCAAAACUCUGUCGCAGGGGCCAUGCCAGACUACAUUCAACAUCAGCAGCUCCUUCAGACUCCAGCCCCUGCCAUGCAGCCAAGUUCUACAGGAGUAGGAACUGGGCAACCAGUUCCUGUUGCCCAGGCGCAGGGCAUGCAGCCUUCAGUGCAAGCACAUCCAGCUGCUGCCCCAGCUCAGCCUGUUGCACACGCCCCAGCAGCAAUACCAGGUGUAGCUGCCAGUGGUCAGAUACUAAAUGUUGGGCAGCAGGGAAGCGUAGCUGCUGUGGUGCAACCACCAUCUGCUACAAACCAAAUUCCACCUCCAGUUAUGCCAUCAACGGCCGCUCCUCCAUCUUCCCAAGUAGUGCAGCCUGUGCAGACAGGAAUAAUGCAGCAGGGAUUACAGGCUAGUGCUUCAGGCCUUCCUCAGCAAAUGGUCAUUGCUCAGCAAAACACCUUGUUACCUGUACAGCCGCAGGCACAAGGAGUGGAAUCUGUAGUCCAAGGAAUGACUGGCCAGCAGCUGCCUGCGGUAAGCCCCAUACCCUCUGCUAGUACUGUUCCUGCACCAAGUCAAGCUGGUUCAGCUGUGCCUCCUGGCAUACCUUCUGCUUCUGUAGGUUUGGGACAGCCACAGAGUAUAGCCCAGGCGUCGGCCGUGCAGAAUGGCAAUUUGGCUCCAAGUGUUAGUCAGCCUCCCUUGAUAUCAACAAGUAUAGGUAUGCCAGUGGCACAGAGUGUGCCACAGCAGAUGCCACUAAGCUCUACCCAGUUCCCCGCACAAUCACUAGCUCAGUCCAUUGCAAGCCAAAUCGAAGACGGCAGACGCCCUACGGAACCUUCCUUGGUGGGUUUACCUCAGGCUGCCAGCGUCGAGAGCGGUGGUGGAGCAUCGGCCGCUUCAGAUGGCGGUAGCAGCAACAUGCCUUCCUCGGCGUCCCUCUUCCCAUUGAAGGUGCUGCCAUUGACAACACCUCUUGUAGAUGGUGAGGAUGAGAGAUACAGAAUGACAGUCAAACACUACACACUGGUAUGCCUGUGAAGAGGCACUGCCAAAGUUAAUUGUGUCUAGUGCAAAAGCUUGGAGUUCUGGCUGAUCAAAGCAGCUACCCACAAAAGUAAAGAACCAGUGUGAGAGUUUGAAGAAAGAAUCUGCUCAGAGGACUGAGUCUCAAGCAAAAGCUCCAGGUUGCAGACUCAGAAAGAAACUUCCUUUGGGGAAGGAUCUGCUUCCAGGAUUUGCUCGUCUCUUUUUCCUUGGGCAAACAGUUCUUGAAGCAAACAACAGGGUUGCAGGACACCUUCUAACCUUUAUACUGCAUCACAAGCCUUCAGCAGAAGAUCUUAUGUUGCUGGAAGAUGACUGGGUUUGGAUCUUGGCCUUCCCUAAGCAGGAUCUCCUGGCAAAAAAUGGGAUUGGGAAAGAAAUGACUCCUUUUUCCAUCACACAGAACCACCCUAGAAAUGGAGGCCUAGGCAGAAAAUUACUUCUAGUGCAUCGUUCUUUAGGAAAUGUGUUUGGCUACUCCUGGUCCUUUUGUUAUAAUGUCAUAUAGAUAUCCUUUAUAAAAUCUAAACCUGGCAUCUUCCUAUCUGAAGGUCAAGUCAAUAAAUCCAAGAUUAAGGGUUUACAGGUCUAAUAUUAUGGUCGGGUCUUGCUGUCCCUUGCAUAGAAGAUGCCACAUGAAUCUGUGAAUAGGGUUCUACUGUAGUUCAGUCUGUUGUAUUUGUAACAUACAUUUCUACUUAUAAAUUAUUAGAAAUAAUAUUAAUAAAAGUUCUUGUGAAAAUUUAGACUUCUACCUUGCCAGGUUUACUUAAAAAUAAAUUUGAGUCAAAAUGUCAUAAUGGGCAACAUGAGAAGUACUGCAUCUUCUGAGGUUUCCGGUGGCUCUCUGUCACAAAAAAGUGUGUUGGAACUGUUAAGAACUGUAAAAGUGGAAAUCUUAGAUUUUCUUUAAGAGUGAGAAGUUGUUUGUUAGAAAGCAGAAAGCUUUUAAUUGUUCUCCCCCUAAGGGAUUCUGUAGUCAAACUUAAUUAAGUGUCUUGCAAGAUCUCAAAUAAAAACCUUGUUUGGUAGUAGUGAACAACACACACAUGCCUGUGUACUUGUGUUGUUCUCACUAUAGGAAAUUAGUUUUGAAGAAUGGGACUUACUUCUAAUGUUCAGAUUAGGGAAGGGGAGAGUUUUGUUCUGAAGCUGAGUGUGAGAAUAGGAGGCAGGAGGGUAUACCAGACCCUCUGGCAGUAGGUGAAGAGCACUUUUGGUUUUCUGUUUUCUGCUUCUGGCAGUUGAAGUAAACUAGCCAGAUGCUUGUACUUGAAUCCAAUUAAUUUCUUAAAUCAGUUACCACAAAACAUUGUUUUUUAACUAAUGCCUAGAUCUUUUGUUAAAUUCACCAGCUUAUUUAAAUUAUUCAACAGUCCUAACAUAGCCCUGAGGCUACUGCUUCAUGGCAGUUGGGACUUCUUACUAUUCUGGAAUGCACUGCAGUCCUAGUACAUUCUAAAAAUAAUUGUUCAGAUGGUGCUGUUCAAGUACAUACUUACGUAGUGGGCCAUUUUCACUGGACUUUCUGAAAUUGGCUUUCUAUUGGGUGGCUUUUUAAUAUCUUGUUUUGCUGUGAUUAUCAAACUUGUUUGUCUUGCUGCUUCUGUGGUUAUUGAGUAAAGUGCUGAAUUUAUAACCUGGUAUUUUUAGAGAACUGAUAGUCACAUGCCUGUGUUAAACUAUGCAAGCACAGUAACACUUGUUAACUUUGAAGUGUUAAACGAAAUCAGUUUAAUGUAUCAAAAUCAAUCCUAUUAUAAUAUGUGGAAAUAUGUACGUGAUGAACUUAAAAUUGACUAGUCCUUACAGGUACAGACAUGAAUUAUGUACUGAACAGAAGUAAUCUAGACAUUAAUAGCUAAAGAUCUGUGGGUCUCAGAAAUGAAUUCUGACAUCUAUGACUAGAGUUUUGUGCCAGCAGUGCUUUUAUUUGAAAAUAAUAACCUGUUUUUCAAAUUUUGAGUCCAUUUAAGGUCUAAAAUCCCUUGUGCCUUAAUAGGUAUACUUACACUUGCCUCAGCCACAGUUUUUGGUCAUUUUGUUCUGUAGUAGGUAAAUUUAGGACUGUCAAAUACUUACAAAACAGGCACUGAGAACUGUUUGUUACUAUCUCAGUUCCUAAAAUGGCUUUACUCCUCCCCAUCACAAUUAGGAAACAAAACCAGCAAAACAAAAGCAAAAACCAAACUAAAAAGCCUGUUGAAUUCUACAGUCACUAUUUUGAUACUUGUCUAUCACUGUUGCGUUAGUGUGUUUCUGUCAUGCUGAGUUUUACAGCUGGAAUCCUGGGUUCUUGAUACAUCCUUAGAACAAUACUCCUGCCUUUGUGUUAUUAAAUAAUAA